UACGUAGGUGGCAAGCGUUGUCCGGAUUUACUGGGCGUAAAGAGCGCGCAGGCGGUCGUUCAAGUCGCGUGUGAAAGCCCCCGGCUCAACUGGGGAGGGUCACGCGAUACUGAUCGACUCGAAGGCAGGAGAGGGAAGUGGAAUUUCCGGUGUAGCGGUGAAAUGCGUAGAUAUCGGAAGGAACAUCAGUGGCGAAAGCGACUUCUGACCAAUACUGACGCUCAUGUGCGAAAGCGUGGGAGCAACAGGAUAGAAACCUGGUACGUCCAGAACCAACUGC
rnacentral:rRNA from 1 species